rnacentral:lncRNA from 1 species
ACCAAAAAAAGGACUUCAACAUAUAUAAAUACAUCGAGUAACACAUAUUAGUAACAACACCAGCAACUCAUUAAUUUUUGACAAUUUGUAAAGCCUAAUUUUAUUGCCCUGGUGACCUUACCUUACCUCAAUAUGUAAGGAAUCAGCCCAAGAAAAUGAACUAUAUGCAGUCCCUUUGGCAAGAAAGAGCAGGAAAGACACUGCUGAAAAAUGAUCGUCUAGGCUUCUAUUUAAUAUGAAUUCAUAUACAGGGAGCCUCUGAAUACUGCUUUCCCUUUUAAUGCCACGAUAUCCAAUUAGUUGAUGUGAUUUGGGUGAUCUACCAGACUGCCACUCCCAGAAAUUGCACUUUCCCUACCAAGUAUUAAUAACCCUACAUAACAACAAUUAGAGAUCAACACAAUACUACAUGUUUCAAUAACAUAUAACUUAAAUUGUUUAGCUUCUUAAACACAAAACUCAUGCUUUAACUUCCCAAGAACACACUAAUUAUCUACAGAAGCAAAAUGUGUCACUCAUACCUUGUUGCAAAGUAAAUGCUGAAAACCAAAAUGUUAAAUCAAAAGGGAGAAAAGUGAAACACAAUUCCAUUGUUGUCAUGGAUCAGUCAAAGUCGCCAUGACAACUUUGAGUGAGCCAUGGUUGCUAACACAUCAGUUCUGACAGAGAAAAGAGAUACCAAAAGCUCCCCCAGUGCCUCCAACUCUACCCCUAGUCAAAGAACAUCAUUUGCACCUUCUUUCACAUAUCUACUACUUAUCCAAAUGUAGUAAAUAAAAUAAAAAUAAAAAGUAAAGUAUUACCUCCCAUCAUCAACAUCAAUAUCUCAAGUAACAAAUGAAAGCAUCAAGGCCCUUAUCCUGAACUGCUCUAAACUGCUGGUGCAUUUGAAUCUACUACAGUAUUCCUACAAGAUGGCCCUAAAAUUUUUCAAAAAAAAUAAAAGUCUUUCAACUAGCAUACCAACAUACAGAUUGCCACAAAGGAGAUUGCAAAUGGAUUCAAAGCUGAACUGAAGUAAACACUUACCGAAUUAACAUAGGCACGGGCCCGUAGUAUUAAUAAUGAAUGCAGAUGACCCAUAGUAUUAAUAAUGAAUGCAGAUGAGCCAUAGUAUUAAUAAUGAAUUCACAUAGGCACGGGCCCAUAGUAUUAAAAAUGACUGCAGAUGGCUGCGAUGUUACUAUUAAUGUCAUUUCCCGUUGCAAUUUUCUCGCUUCUUUAAACAACUUCUCAUCUUUCUAUAUUGUAUUUUUACUUCAUUUAAAUUUAAUAUUAUAAUGUUUCAAUUGCCCCCACUUGUCCAAGGACAACUUCCCUGCAAGCUUCUAUUUUGCAAAAUCAAGUUUAGAGAUCAAUCUUUGUAAGGAAAGUUUGACUUAAACUUUAUGCUUGAGCCAUCCAUUUGUUGACUCGAGAUGGAAAUUACUCCCUUUCUAAAUAAGUUUUUCGGACAUCUAUCAUCCAACUUUAGAAGAAAACUAUUUUCGCUUUUUAGAUUCACAUUUCAUGUACAAAGAAGCCGAGUUAAGUUCACAUAAUUGUAUUAUGCAAGUUACACUUUUCAAUGGCUGCUAUUUACUUGAAAGAAAAAAGAGACACACAGAGGUAUUAUCUAGAAGCACAACCCAGUCAAAUUAACAAGAACUAAGAUGGUGGCGAUAUUACAUAGACAAAAAGAAAACGAAAGUUGAAAGGAAAACCAAAAGGACUCACAGUCGAUUUGCAGGAAGGGUCGUAGAGCCAGUUGGGUUCUCAGCAGAACCUGCGCUUUUCAGUCUUCAGACUCUGAGAAAACUUGUGUUCUUCACUUCUUCAUCAGAUAUGGCGAGAGUCAAUCGUGAGAAAAAAAGAGUUAGAAACGAACAAACCUAAAAUGAUCAACUCAAUAUACACAGCUUUAAAUCCAA